rnacentral:tRNA from 1 species
GCCAGCGUGCCAGAAUCCGGUUAUUGGGCACGCCUCGAAAGCGUGUGUCCUUAUGGACUUCCAGGUUCAAAUCCUGGCGCUGGCG